CUGCCCCUGCCAAGGGGUGCUGGCCACGCAGGAGGCUUAACCUGGCCGGCGCGGGAAUGGGGUGCAGAGAGCAAAGAAAUGUGGCUUUGAUCUUAUGGAUGCCUUACUUUUACAUUAUUUGUACAGUUCUUGCAGUGAGCUUUCCGGACCACUGUCUUGUAUGUUUCCUAAGAAAAGCAAAAAGGGAAGAGAUUGAAGAGAAAGUAGAUUUUCAACUACAAACUUUCAUCCAUUUGCUUUCAGCUUAAGCAAAUGUGCGCAAAGUUGUCAUGGAUUUUUGCAGUCAAUAAAAACCAAGCAAGAAGACUGAAUCCCAAGUCAUCUGGGGCAGAUAAGAAAAGGAACAAUUUGCUGAAACUCCCUCUGCUUGUAACACAACUGACUGAAAUCAGCCGGAAUCAAUAUGGCCAAAUGCAGUUUGCGCACAGCAAGCUUGCUGUUGUCACAGCCUGAAUUUCUACUGCAUGUUUCAUACGAACUCCCUCCAAAUUUGCACAUGGGACCUACCAGGAAGCAUGAAGAGAGAGCCAUGCAUGCCUGAAGACUUCCCAGAUGUUCCCUUUGCUUCCACCAAUCACCUGCUAAUCCCAGGAUCCAACCCUAAACCUUUUGUAAUAAAAUUACUGCCCUAAAGCCAGUACAAGAAGACAGAUUUGAACUGGACUUCUGUUUCCUCAGAAGUUAACUUGCAAUGUGAAGCUUUCCUUUUCUCAAAAACUUGGUGUCAUAGUGUUGGCUUCUAGUGCAGUGAGCCCCUUUUGCUGGAUAACACUACCUGGUAAUUUGACAUACUAGGUGGUUAGUAACUACUGACUGUCUCCAGGUUACAACACAGUUAUUACCUACUUGGGUGAAAAGAGAAGACAGGAAAUACAUUUUGGAGUUGGCUGGCAACCUGUUUACAAAGCGAUUUACAACAGUUCUUUAUUCUUAAGGGGCUAUUCUAAUAUAAGACCUCAGAGAAACAGUGCAGUGUGACAAAGGAGGAAUUUAUCAAAUGAGACAGAAAAAGCAUCAAGGCAAGCUGUGAAAUGGUGCGGUAGGAACCAAAUAGAGAGCCAAAGGAUCUCUCUGUCACUGCAGGCCCUUAGGGCUGAACUCUGAGAACACCACAACUUCACAGAGACUGCUGGUUUUCUGCAAUUAGCAGCAAGAGUCCUGACUCAGGGAAGUUGCUCUCCAGUCCAGACUAGCAAAAGACAGAGAGAAUGGGCUCUGCAGAAGACAGAUCCAGACAAGCCAUGCAUGAUUCAUGCCACCUGCAGCCACACGGGUGUCAAUACCAAGAACCUGCCAUAUGUCAUCAAGAGUGUGUUAAGUGAAACCUUCUCAAGAGUUAUUCUUUUGUGCUCUGUCCAAAUCUGGAGAACCCUUCCAAAUACUAUAAAGAUUGAUAUCUU
rnacentral:lncRNA from 1 species